rnacentral:rRNA from 1 species
UACGUAGGGUGCAAGCGUUUAUCGGAAUUACUGGGCGUAAAGCGUGCGCAGGCGGUUGUGCAAGACAGAUGUGAAAUCCCCGGGCUUAACCUGGGAACUGCGUUUCUAACUGGCAGGCUUGAGUGUGGCAGAGGGGGGUGGAAUUCCACGUGUAGCAGUGAAAUGCGUAGAGAUGCGGAGGAACACCGAUGGCGAAGGCAGCCCCCUGGGCUGACACUGACGCCUCAGGCACGAAAGCGUGGGGGAGCAAACAGG